rnacentral:rRNA from 7 species
CGCCCGUCUGAGGGUCGGC